rnacentral:rRNA from 1 species
CCUACGGGUGGCUGCAGUGGGGAAUAUUGCACAAUGGGCGAAAGCCUGAUGCAGCAACGCCGCGUGAAGGAAGAAGGGUUUCGGCUCGUAAACGUCGAGCAACAGGGACGAAAGAAAUGACGGGACCAGAAUAAGAAGCCCCGGCUUACAACGGGCCAGCAGCCGCGGUAAGAAGUAGGGGGCAAGCUUUAGACGGAAUUACUGGGUGUAAAGGGUGAGUAGGCGGCAUGGGAAGCCAGAGGUGAAAGCCUGGGGCUUAACCCGAGGCUUGCAUUUGGCACUAUCAAGCUAGAGUACAGGAGAGGCAAGCGGCAUUCCUAUUGUAGCCGUUAAAUGCGUCGAUAUUAGG